AACUGCCUGAUGGAGGGGGAUAACUACUGGAAACGGUGGCUAAUACCGCAUAACGUCGCAAGACCAAAGAGGGGGACCUUCGGGCCUCUUGCCAUCAGAUGUGCCCAGAUGGGAUUAGCUUGUUGGUGAGGUAACGGCUCACCAAGGCGACGAUCCCUAGCUGGUCUGAGAGGAUGACCAGCCACACUGGAACUGAGACACGGUCCAGACUCCUACGGGAGGCAGCAGUGGGGAAUAUUGCACAAUGGGCGCAAGCCUGAUGCAGCCAUGCCGCGUGUAUGAAGAAGGCCUUCGGGUUGUAAAGUACUUUCAGCGGGGAGGAAGGUGUUGUGGUUAAUAACCGCAGCAAUUGACGUUACCCGCAGAAGAAGCACCGGCUAACUCCGUGCCAGCAGCCGCGGUAAUACGGAGGGUGCAAGCGUUAAUCGGAAUUACUGGGCGUAAAGCGCACGCAGGCGGUCUGUCAAGUCGGAUGUGAAAUCCCCGGGCUCAACCUGGGAACUGCAUUCGAAACUGGCAGGCUUGAGUCUUGUAGAGGGGGGUAGAAUUCCAGGUGUAGCGGUGAAAUGCGUAGAGAUCUGGAGGAAUACCGGUGGCGAAGGCGGCCCCCUGGACAAAGACUGACGCUCAGGUGCGAAAGCGUGGGGAGCAAACAGGAUUAGAUACCCUGGUAGUCCACGCCGUAAACGAUGUCUACUUGGAGGUUGUGCCCUUGAGGCGUGGCUUCCGGAGCUAACGCGUUAAGUAGACCGCCUGGGGAGUACGGCCGCAAGGUUAAAACUCAAAUGAAUUGACGGGGGCCCGCACAAGCGGUGGAGCAUGUGGUUUAAUUCGAUGCAACGCGAAGAACCUUACCUGGUCUUGACAUCCACAGAAGAAUCCAGAGAUGGAUUUGUGCCUUCGGGAACUGUGAGACAGGUGCUGCAUGGCUGUCGUCAGCUCGUGUUGUGAAAUGUUGGGUUAAGUCCCGCAACGAGCGCAACCCUUAUCCUUUGUUGCCAGCGAUUAGG
rnacentral:rRNA from 1 species